GACGUAGGAGGCGAGCGUUGUCCGGAUUCAUUGGGCGUAAAGAGCACGCAGGCGGUUUGGCAAGUCGGAUGUGAAAACCCGAAGCUCAACUUCGGGCCUGCAGUGGAUACGGGCAGACUAGAGGUAGGUAGGGGAGAAUGGAAUUCCCGGUGUAGCGGUGAAAUGCGCAGAUAUCGGGAGGAACACCGGUGGCGAAGGCGGUUCUCUGGGCCUUACCUGACACUGAGGAGCGAAAGCGUGGGGAGCGAACAGG
rnacentral:rRNA from 1 species